UGUUCAUCUCAAUUCCAGACAGUGCAAAAUGCUCAGAUAUGUAAGUUCAUCUGAAGUUGCAGGAAGUCACAGCAAGAAAUCUUUUGAGAACUCAGUUGUGUCUCUUUAGUAAAGCUCAGAAGCUAGGAUCCAAAGACUUGGCUGAGUACCAUGUGCUCAAUGGGCAUUUUGGACUUACAUCAGUCUUAAGAGCAGUCACAUUAUAUAUUAAAACUGAGGGCGAUUUCAAAUGACACAUGAGAUAUAGAAUCAUAGAAUCUUUGAGUUGGAAGGGACUCCAAAGGUCAUCUUGUACAACCACUGCAAUGCAGGAAUCUCAGCUAAAACAUCCAUGACAGAUGGCCAUCCAACCUCGGUUUAAAAACCUCCAAGGAAGGAGAGUCCACCACUUCUUGUGGGAGUCUGUUCCACUGCCAAGCAGCUCUUACUGUCAGGAAGUUUUUCCGAAUGUUUAGUUGGAAUUUUCUUUCUUGUAACUUGAAGCCAUUGGUCCUGCCCUCCACAGCAGGAGGAAAGAAGCAUGCUCUCUCUUCCAUGUGACAGCCCUUAAGAUAUUUGAAGGUGGCUAUCACAUCUCCUCUUGGUCUCCUCUUUUCUAGGCUAAACAUACCCAGCUUCUUCAAGCGCUCCCCAUAAGGCUUAGUUUCCAGACACUUGAUCAUCUUGGUCGCCCUUCUCUGUACACAUUCCAGCUUGUCAACACCCUUCUUAAAUUGUGGUGCCGAGAAAUGGACGCAGUAUUCCAAGUAUGGUCUGACUAAGGCAGAAUAUAGUGGUACUAUUACUUCCCUUGAUCUGGACACUUUACUUCCUACAUUUUACCAACCAGCUUCCUUGCAAGAAUAUAAUGGGGGACUUUGUCAAAAGCCUUACUGAAAUCAAGAUACACUAUGUCCACAGCAUUUCCCUGAUUCACCAAGUUUGUAAUUCCACCCAGAAAAGAAAUCCGCUUGGUCUGGCAUGACUUAUUUUUGAGAAACCCAUGCUGGGUCUUAGUAAUCACAGCAUCCUUUUCUAAACGUUCACAUACCGACUGUUGAAUUAUCUGUUCUAGGACCUUCCCUGGCAUUGAUGUCAAGCUCACCAGUCACCUCCAGUCUGUAGGGAUCUCACCUGUUUUCCAAAAAUUCUCAAAGAUAAAAGACAAAGGCUCUGAAAUUACAUCUGCAAGCUCCUUUAGUACCCUUGGAAGCAGCUCAUCAGGCCCUGAAGAUUUGAAUUCAUUUAAAGUAGCUAGGUGUUCCCCUUACUACCUCUUUUCUUAUCUUGGGCUGCAGCUCCCUCCUUACAUCAUUUAUUCUGUUACCACCAGGUUGGGCAUCACUUUCCUUUGGGGUGAAGACAGGGACAAAGUAGGUGUUGAGUAGUUCCACCUUUUCUAUGUCACCCAAUAGCAUUUCUCCAUCUUCCCCACACAGAGGACCUACCACUUGCUUGUUCUUCCUUUUACUUUAGACAAAGCUGAAUAAACCUUUUUUAAAAAAUAAAUAAAAAAAAUUAACCUCUCUUGCAAGCCUGAACUCAUUCUGAGCUUUAGCCAGCCUGACUUUCCCCCUGCAACUGUUGGCUACUCAUGCUUACUUCUCCUUUGUGCAAUGGGACAGGGUCUGACAUUUGUCCUGCAGCCACCACCAACUUCUACACCUGGAAUGAAGACACAGGGCAUCACACCUGGAUUUAAAUAAAAUAUGGAUUUAAACAAGCUGCAAGCUGCAAAGGGCAAGGUCCAAACUCUGCCACAAUCUCCAUAACAAUGCCUUCAUCUAAAGUGAGCACUAAGAAGUUCUGCCUCAGAGGCAACUCCACCCUGUCUGUAGAGGCUUCCUUAAUGUUUUCUAUGCAGUUCCUUCAUUCAGCCAGAGCUGGAUGGAGGUGCAGAGGCUGAAUACCUUGCCUGACACCACUCCACAGUCAAGAGCCUAGAGACAAGACAGAACAUCACACAGCCUGAAAGGCCUACAUCAAAGGGCUCAACCCCUUCCAGCAGAAGCAUGACAGCAAGGAUACCCAACGCAGUAGGAGCUGUUGAAACUCAGACAGCUUCCAGGACAGGAUGCCAAAAGCAGGUCUCAGAGUACUAAGCCUGGAUUUUAUUAACACUAUUGAGAUAUGAGUUCCAAUACAAAAUUGUGCUCUUGGAGAAGUUAAAAUUCUGACACAAAGCACAGCUACAGGUGUGUUGAAUAAAGCCCCAUUUUAAAAAGGGACAGCGGUUAAUUCAGUAGGCUGUUGCAUAUGAACAAAUGCUUAAUGCUAGUGCCUUUUUGCUAUCUGCUUUCUAGGAAUCAAAAGCCUACGACUGAGCCCUAGUUCCAGCACAAAUACACUUUGCCCUCUCUAUAUUCUUGAAAAGCUUUGUGCUCAAAGUGUGUCCAACUGAUCUGUAAUGGCCAUCAUCUGACAAUCAGUUCAUUUGCACCAGGCUAAGUAGGGGACAAGUGUGCUGGAACAAAAGUCAUUGUAUUAGGAUGAAUUUAGGGAACUUUAGCGGGGGGAGGAAAUAACUCUACACAGCCAUUGACAGACUAAGGACAGAAGGCUUGACAAUAGCCAUGGUGAAUCACACGAAACAAAGACAGAGAGACUCCUCAAAUGCCCUUUGGUCUUUUGAACUAUCACAUUAUUUUUAAGUCUUUAUUUAGGACAGCUGGAUCCUCUCUAUUUUUUGAGGGUCAAGAUAUUUCUUUUGUAAAUUUUAGUAUAUCCUUAAAGGAAAAGAAAUAGAACAAAAAUGCACUCAUCCAAAUGUCUUUCCGCCAGUCACCUUGACUUGUUUACAGAAUGGCACUGAGAUGGUGGCAAUCUGCCUUUCUUCAGUUUUUGAUUUUUUAUUUGUGUGUGGGUAUAUAAGCAGCUUACCAAUUGUUUUCAGCUCCUGGUGCUUCUCCUCCUUUCAGGCUACUGCUGUGCCCAAAGAGCUGUGCAACUUAGUUAGACCACUACACAAAAUGAAAUCCUGAAAUCAUGUUUCUGUUUUGUGCAGAGUUACAAUUGAAGCCACUCUCCAUUCCCACACGUCAGAGAUGAACACUGCCAAAUAGUGCAGGUGUCAAUUCUAAGAUUGAUCUUUGAGCUUUUCUUAACUGAAACAGGAAAGCAUGUGGAAUGAAUCAUUGGGUCAAAUCUACAAACCGUAGCCAACCACACCCUAAGCCACCAUCCGCUCUCACAACCAAGGAAAUCCAAGUGAAUAGUAAGAGAACCCAUACAAGUAAUGCUGACACAAACUCCCCCCUCACUAAGUAGAAGAAUAGAAGCAUAACCACCUGACCCCACCCCACUCACCAUUCCCCCUCUCCUUCCUUCCUUCCUUCCUUCCUUCCUUCCUUCCUUCCUUCCUUUCUUUUUCUUUCUUCUUAACUGUUUAAACCAAUUCAUGAACCAAGAACCUGUACAUUGACCACUAAUAAUGAAACAUAUGUUGUAGAUAUUUUUCCACAUUCAUUAU